AAAAAGAGAUACUCAGACAGCAAGUAGUUAUGGCUUUCUGUUGAAGACUAAAAGAAAAAUGAAGUCUAGAGGAACACCUCUAAUUUGCAAAAGAGACUGGAUGUAAGGUCACUGAUUCAACAUGUAUGAACAAGAGUCUAUGUUGUCAGAAAUAAAUGCCUUCAGGACUACUGCUUCAGAAUAUGGAUCCAGCUACAAGGUAGAAUAUGACUUGAAAAAAAAUCAUUGUAUCCUCAUGUAGCAAUUUUUC
rnacentral:lncRNA from 1 species